rnacentral:rRNA from 1 species
ACAAGCCUGAGAAACGGCUAGUAGGACUAAGGUCUGCAGCAGGCGCGAAGCUUACACAAUGCUAGAUUGAAAUUAGCGAUGUAGUGAAGAAAAAUAACGAUGCGCUUUCAUUAAAACAUGAUAGCGCAAUUGGAAUGAGACGACUAUAAACCAGUUAGUCGAGUAACAAAUGGAGGGCAAGUCUGGUGCCAGCAGCCGCGGUAAUUCCAGCUCCAUUAGCAUACAUUAAAGUUGUUGCGGUUAAAAAGCUCGUAGUUGAAUUUAAGGCGGGCCUGUGGCGGGGCGGUCGCGAAGGGAUAGAUUCGCUCUAUCCUGGCCGCUCGCUUGCCGUAGGGCCCGCUGUUUCGUCACUUAAUCGAGUGCGAAGCGGGGUGGAAUCGCCAAUUCGUUGGCCGAUCUCACCAAGCUUACCUUGAGAAAAUUAGAGUGCUCACGGCAGGCAGUUGGGGUGUAAAAGCCCCUUUAUGCUUGAAUAAUGUUGCAUGGAAUAAUAGAAUACGGCCUCGGUUCUAUUCUGUUGGUCUUAUAGAACAACAAACAAGUUGGCUUGGGCGUCAAGGGGGUUGUUUUAGCGGGGCCUUGUUGAAAGCUUGUUGCCUUUGGGUAAAACCAAAGAGCCAUCUUUCAGCCGGCUAUCCAAACUGCUCUAGCAGCCUCCGCCCAGCAGCCAACUGAGGCAAUGGUUAAAAGAAAUAGUCGCGGCGGCAUCAGUACUGCAUCGUGAGAG